AGAGUUUGAUCAUGGCUCAGGACGAACGCUGGCGGCGUGCAUAACACAUGCAAGUCGAACGGAACUAUUAGCAAUAAUAGUUUAGUGGCGGACGGGUGAGUAACGCGUGGGCAACCUGCCCCGGACUGGGGAAUAACGCAGAGAAAUCUGCGCUAAUACCGCAUAACACCAUAAUACCGCAUGGUAAGAUGGUCAAAGGAGAAAUCCGGUUUGGGAUGGGCCCGCGUCCGAUUAGCUAGUUGGUGAGAUAACAGCCCACCAAGGCAACGAUCGGUAGCCGGACUGAGAGGUUGGCCGGCCACAUUGGGACUGAGACACGGCCCAGACUCCUACGGGAGGCAGCAGUGGGGAGUAUUGCGCAAUGGAGGGAACUCUGACGCAGCGACGCCGCGUGAAGGAUGAAGGCCUUCUGGUUGUAAACUUCUGUCUUCAGGGACGAGAAAGGACGGUACCUGAGGAGGAAGCCACGGCUAACUACGUGCCAGCAGCCGCGGUAAUACGUAGGUGGCGAGCGUUGUCCGGAAUUACUGGGUGUAAAGGGCGCGUAGGCGGGGAUGCAAGUUAGAUGUGAAAUACCGGGGCUCAACUCCGGGGCUGCAUCUAAAACUGUGUUUCUUGAGUGCUGGAGAGGGAAGCGGAAUUCCUAGUGUAGCGGUGAAAUGCGUAGAUAUUAGGAGGAACACCAGUGGCGAAGGCGGCUUCCUGGACAGCAACUGACGCUGAUGCGCGAAAGCACGGGUAGCAAACAGGAUUAGAUACCCUGGUAGUCCGUGCCGUAAACUAUGGAUACUAGGUGUAGGGGAUUUUAUAUCUUCUGUGCCGCAGUUAACACAAUAAGUAUCCCACCUGGGGAGUACGGCCGCAAGGUUGAAACUCAAAUGAAUUGACGG
rnacentral:rRNA from 1 species